GCCGAGGUGGCCUAGCCUAGUUAUGGCACCAGGCUACACCCGACAGGGUGAAACUCAUAAUCGCGGGCUGGGCUGAGAGAUCUGGGGGUCGGGGGCGCGAAUCCCCCCCUCGGCACCA
rnacentral:tRNA from 1 species